GACCUGCCGAGGGCGCGCGCCGCGUGCUGGCGCUCCCUGGCGGCGCCGCGGAGCUUGGCGCGGCAGCUGGAGGCGGCCUGGCGCGUGGUGACGGCGCCCGCGGGCGGACGCAGGAUGGCGGCGCUGCGGGGCGACGGCUUCGCCAGGCUUCGGCCCGCACGGGCGCAGCGAACCCCAGGGAAGAAAGACAAAGACACGCCGGUUAGCAACGGGCGGGAACCGCGCAGCCCGGGGCCGAGGCGCCGCGUCCCCACCCCGCACCCUUCAGGGCAUGUGAAGGCUGGAUGCCGGCUUAGGAGUUGCUUCUCUCCUGCCACCACUGGGUUCCAAAGAUUGAACUCAGGUUAGAUAACAGUAACAGAGAAGCGGCCGGAGUAGGAAAACACACAGACAGCGCCAGGAGGAAGAGCAUCUGAAGAAACCAAAGCUCAGCUGGUUCCUUGCAGGGCAAGACAAGAAAUUUGAAGUUGAUACGUAACUUGGCCACACUUCGAAGCUGUAAAUAAAUGAGCCAAGACUUCAACCUAAGUUCGCAGACUCUUAUCACCAAAAGUACAGAAUGGUGUCAGGUACAUCAAGACUAACCGAACAGAAAUCAGCUAUCAUAGUAAGUCAAAUUCCAAAAACAUAAGACAGAAAAGCAAGAACAAUACCUUAAAAUUUUAGGAUCGAAUUUUAGAAUUAAAUUGCUAGCUGAAACUAUACAGUGUAAUGGGAUGUCUGUAACAACUUGUGACAGAAUGACCUAAAUGCUGCCAUAGGAAACACAAGAGCUCUUUCUCCAUGAAAAUAACAGGAUUUCUAUGACUCUGCACAGCCAGAGAUGGUAAUGCAGCAGGCAGUUCAGAAGAACUACAAACACUGGCCAAAACUCCCCCGCAGAGAAUGAGAAGGACCAUUAAUGCUGCAUUAGUGUAGCAGUCACAAACACCUGCCGCCUUCAAUGCUAAUGUUUUCAUGUAUAUUCAAACCCUAAUUGUAGCAAUAUCCUUUAAAUAUUUCCAUCACGAUUCCUUCUGCUGGGCUCAGGACCAUGUUUUAUGCUCCUGACUUUCCCAUAAUGACCGCAUGGUAGGACCAGCAGAGAAAGCCUGCCCAAAGACCACACUGCAGACAAGCCAGCAACCUAUGAAGCCAGCAUGAAAGAGAAAUUUGCUCAAAUAUACCUAAUUCAACUAAUCAUAUUUUCCAUUAAGAGACUGAGCCAAAGCUACACAGGGAAAGAAAACAGAUAAAAGGUGCCAGAAAGGUGAGAAGUACCUACAAAUAUAUUGAGAAGACAGAGUGAGAAAUCUUUUUAGUCUUAGAAGAGCUAGGAGAAGAGACACAGUACUUCUUGCUGCCAAGACUGCAAUACCCAAUCACUAGAGUUGCCUCGAUUUCCCCAUUAGAUAUCAUAUCGCCUACCUAGUGAAAAUCUAGUGAAGCCAACUUGUCUGGAUUUCCACAAGGCCUGGCCACUUCUGUCUCCCUUAUGUUUUUCACAUAAAACUUUCAGAAAAACCUCCUCCCCUUACCAGAUACAAGCCAAACAAAAUUACAUGCUUGCAACCAAAAAGAAGAAUGAAAGAUCCUAACAGCUGUUUUUUGAGUGCACACACACUCACACAUCCACUUUUAGACACUAGACAAGCUGGGGGGUAGCUGGCAAUUCAAGCCUUCUGAUUCUCCCAUCUAUUUUAUAGUUCCUGUGGCUUAGAUACUGUGUUAAUGAACCCUAGUUACCUAGUCUAGAGAGAGAAGCUCAAAAAGAAUGAUAAACCUUAAAGAUUAGCAACUUAGGUCUUAGGACAUGAGUAGAGUGCCUGUUGUGCAGCCAUGAGGGCUGAGAUUCAGCUCCACAGCAGCUACAGGAAAAGUUAGGCAUGGAAGCCUGUGUAUGCAACUCCAGUACAGGGAUGGAGAUUUGGGAAAAACAGGCAGUUUCUUCCAAGCCAGCUUCAGUCUAGCUAAGCAGUAAGAACCAGCUUCAGUGAAAGACCUGUCUCGAAACAUAAAAGUAGAACACAAUUAUGGAAGACACCUGGUGUCAACCUCUGGCCUGCAUAUGUAUUUUACACAAACAGAUACACAACACACAUCUGUGUGUACACAUAUGCACACACAAAAAAGUAACUCUUCAUUAUAAAUUCAAUAUUAACAAUUCAGUAUUAACAAGAGCUCCAGAAUAGUUUUAAGAAACAAAACUAUCUCAUUUAAAAGCUCCUUCAUCUGUGUGUAUAUAAUGUUUGUGUGAGGAUUUUUGUGGUAUAUGAACUGAUUUUCUCAGAAUCACAUUGAAUAAAUGUUGAUUAGUCAAAGUG